GUAGGUGGCAAGCGUUGUCCGGAAUUAUUGGGGCGUAAAGCGCGCGCAGGCGGUUCUUUAAGUCUGAUGUGAAGGGCCCACGGGCUCAACCGUGGAGGGUCAUUGGAAACUGGAGAACUUGAGUACAGAAGAGGAAAGCGGAAUUCCACGUGUAGCGGUGAAAUGCGUAGAGAUGUGGAGGAACACCAGUGGCGAAGGCGGCUUUCUGGUCUGUAACUGACGCUGAGGCGCGAAAGCGUGGGGAGCAAACAGGAUUAGAUACCCUGGUAGUCCACGCCGUAAACGAUGAGUGCUAAGUGUUAGGGGGUUUCCGCCCCUUAGUGCUGCAGCUAACGCAUUAAGCACUCCGCCUGGGGAGUACGGCCGCAAAGGCUG
rnacentral:rRNA from 1 species